CGGGGAGGCGAGGGGGCGGUGCCGCAGGUCGGUUCCGGACGCCUGGGGAGGGAGUACCAGGAGGACGCGGCGCGCGGGCAGCAAAGACAGAGUACAAAAUGUUAACAGCUAACAUUAACUGAGGACGAUGAAGGUAAUUACCAACCAAACCUUGUCAACUUUUGAAAAAUUCUGUAAAAGGAUUUGAAAUGACAGGCUAGAGGCUAUAUACCGGAGGCUGAAUGGGUCAUGUCAAAAAAUCAUCCUUGAAAGAAGUCCAUGUUAACACGUGAAAUAAAAGAAAAGCUGAGAAGUUGUUGGCCUUUUAAGACUUGUUCCUGAGGUGACGGGAGUAAGAUGGUAGUGUACCCAUGUCGCAUGCUUCUCAGAGCCCUGAAAGACCUCAGCCACAGCCACUCCACAUAUUGUAAAGAGCACCGAACUUGGAGUCGAAGGGUCAAAGAAUCGCAUUUACGAUUUCUGGCUUCUAAGGAAAGACUGUUCGCAGAGCUGUUGUAGGUUGUCGCCUAUUUACAGUCUAAAGGACUUCCCCUGGAGUACCUUCCUAGUUGCCAGAUGAGAUUUCGCCGGAGUCAUGAACUGCCUAACAUUUCUUCACCGUCACCUUCCUCCUGAAUGAGCUGAAGGACAAGACAGUUCUGCUGGCUUGGCUCCUUAUUUCUAGGUGAUACGUGUGUGUCUUUGGUGAAAGUGGGGUGAAGAAUAAUUUUAUAAAUCAGUGUACACAUGGAAAAAUAAGCCAUUUUUAUUUGAAUUACAAAUAAUGUAUAUUUGUAAUGCUGCAGACUAUUCUGAUGUAAAAUUUUAAUGUCAAAAUCUAUAUCUCAGAGCUGUUGAAAGCAUUAAAUGUUGUGUUACAGAAAAUAAAGGUUAAACUAGCUUUAGCUUUGCCUAAAUUCUAAAUGUUGCUAAUUAACCAACUUUAUUCAUCUUUACUUUCUUUCUUUAAAGUUUUUUGUCUUACUGCAAACAUAAUACAUUUUUCUGCCAUAGAAAAUUAAAAUAUAAAAAAAUUAAGAAGUAGGGGACUUCCCUGGUGGUUCAGUGGUUAAGACUCCACACUCCCAAUACAGGGGUCCUGGGUUCCAUCCCUGGUCUGGGAACUGGAUCCCGCAUGCAGAAACGAAGAUCCCUCGUGCCACGACUAAAACCCGGCGCAGCCAAAAAAUAAAAAAUAAAAGAAAUGAAGAGUGAAGGACUUAGUAAUCAGUAUCUUGAUAACCAGUCUCAUGAAUCCUCUAAAACCACUAACACAGCCCCCAAAUUAUACCAACAGAAGUAAGAGCCAUCAAUAAUUACCUUAAUUUGUAAUAAAGAUCAUUAUUACAACUGAAGGGGGAAGGGCUAUAAAGACUUAGAGAAGCUCCAACCCAGUACUAACAUUCCACUCUUCCACCAGCUCCAGCCUCUGCCUAUUAACUUUAUACCCUCAGACCCAGUGCCUGGAAUUUUCAGCUUUUUUGGUUAAUUCCUUGGAUUAAAGCAGUCCUUCUCUUACUUAUUUUUCACUCAGCUAUUUCUCUCAGAGGCAAAGGAAACCCUAGGAGUGGGGAAGCAUAACCUAAAGAGGACAUGGCUUAAGACUGCCAUUUGCUUUAAAAUUCUAGACAAUUUUGCAUCACACUUCGUAAUAUUGUUACUACAACCCAACAGUGAUGUGUAUUUUCCAGGAGUGUCUACUAUGUUUAUCCUGAAGCUUUGUAUGCCCCUUGUCACAGAGCUAAGUACUACAGCUGGAGAAGCAGAAAGUUAGUAUUUUUCCUUUGGUCUCUUCAUGCAGAAAGUAUUUAAUGAAGACCUGCUUUAUGCCAGACACUCUGCUGGUGAUAUUGACACCACAGACCUCCAUUUGCAGUGAGAUAUGGUAGGUACGGAGGUACCAAAACAAAUCCUAAGGAAGGAGAGUAUAGUGAUUAACUCUCCCUUGAGUUCAGAUAUAGAAUCCUGAAACAGAUGUGUCUGAGCUGAAUUUGGAAGGAUUAAAAGUCUGAAAGUUGUGUCAAAAUAUAAUUUUUUAAGUUAAAAACGCGUGCCUUCAAACUUCAGUGUCACAAGGGGCAAUUUGCAGUCAGUUUUCUCCCCAAGCCCAGCCCCUGGCAACUACGAAUCUGAUUUGUGUCUCCACAGUUUUUCUACACUUUCAAAUAAGUAGUAUCUUAAAGUAUAUAGUCUCUUGUGCCUGCCUUCCUCCCCUUUAUCAUCAUGGUUUUAGGUACAAGACUUGUCAUGUGAAUCAGUAGCUCAUUAAUUUUUAUUGCUAAGUAAUAUUCUAUUUUAUGGAUAAAACACAAUGGCUUUAUGCAUUCUUGUAUUGAUAAUACAUUGGUUGUUUCAUGUUUGAAAACAGGAAGUAUUAUGAAUAAAUCUAUAUACAAGCCUUUGUGUAAAUAAAAUAAAAAAUAAAAACGUGUGCCUUAUUCAAACGUAUAGUGAGCAUGUGUCAAAAAUGUAUUUAACUCAUUAAUGAGAAAACCAGCAAGAUGGUGAAGUUGAUUCAGAGUAACACAGGAGAGACAUUGAAAAUCGAUGAAAGAAAAACUGAUGAAAUCAGAUUGCAAAAUUAGCCCCAAACUGGCUAACAGGAUUUCCACUUCUGGCAAAGAUAGAGUAAUAGGGACAGAUUUACCCUUCCACCUGAAACAAGAAAAAAGUGGGCAAAAAUACAUGAAACAAUGGUUUUGAGACUUUGAGCAUUAGGCAGGAAGGACUGUGAUCCCUGAGAGGCAAUAUGCGCGAGAUUAUUGCCUGGCAUUUUCUUGAGAGAAGUUCAGGUAGAACCCAGCAGUCUACCUGAAUUGAGGAUAUGAAGCUAGGAGUCCAGGAAGGCCAAGGCAGCUAGGACAGAGUCCUAGGAGGUAGAGAGCUUCUUAGUGAGAGCCAUGGAUGUGUACAGAGGAUCCCCCUCCAGUCUGCAGCAGAAUACUGAUCAAUACAUAGGUGUGAGGAAACUACCCAGGACUGGGGAAAAGAACUACCCCCCAGAAUUAGAGGGAUUUUCAGAACUCAGACAGGACCAGUGAUAGUUCCACUUCCUCUCCCCCAGAACGAAAAAUCUCAUAAUUCAUAGGCCAUCAGGUAGAGUACUCAGAAAGGUUUUGCCUCCAUAGUCGGGAAAAAAAUUAACCAGGGACUGAAUCAGUUUUGAUACUGCCUUAAAAAGCCUAGAGGCAAGACCUGAAAGGAUCAAACUUUUCCCAGAUAACUACAUCCCAGGGCAAUGCUCAACAAUAUUUAUAGGAAUAUAAAAAUAUCCAGCACCAUACAAGGUAAAAGUCCACACAAUCUGGCAUCCAGUCAAAAAAUAUCAGGCAUGCAAAGCAGCAGUAUACAACCCAUAAUUAGAAAAAUCUAUCAAUUGAAACUAACCCAGAAAUAACAGUGACAUUAAAACAUUUAUUGUAAUUAUCCCAUAUGUUCAAAAAAACUAGAAAAAAGAUUGAGCAAAUUAAGUAGAGACAUGAAAAAUGUUUAAAAAAAAAAAAAAAAACAAUGAACAAACCCAGGUAGAAGAGAUUAGAUACUGCAAAGAAAAGAUUAGAAAAGAACUUGACGACAUAGCAUUGGAAACUAUUCAAAGUGAAAUACAAAGAGGAAAAUAGACUGAAAAAAUGAACAAAAGGGUAGGACAACUUCACUUGGACUAAUAUUCAUGAAAUUGAAGUCCCCAAAGAGAGGAGGGACAAAUAAGUGUUUGAAGAAAUAAUAGCCAGAAUUUUUCCAAAUUUGCUAAACUCUGUGAGCCCAGAGAUGCAAGAGGCUCAAUGAACCCCAAACAAAAGAAACGUGAAGAAAACUACACCAAGAGGAACAAAGGUAACAAUGACAUCAGACUUCUCAUGGGAAGCAGUGCAAGUAAGAUGAUACUAGAGAAACAUCUUUGUUUUUUUCUUAAAAGAAAAAAGUCAGCCUAGGAUUCUAUGCCCAGCAAAAAAUAUCUUUUGAAAAUGAAAGUGAUAGGAAGACUUGUUCAGACAUAGAAAAGCUGAAAGAAUUCAUCAACAGCAGACCUACACUACAGGAAAUAUUUAAGAAAAUCCAUCAGACAGAAGGAAAAUUAUACAGAUCAUAGAUGCAGAUGUAGAUCAACACAAAGAAGUGAGGAGCAUCAGAAAUAAUAACUAUAUGGUUAAAUGUAAAAUGCUUUUUUUUUUAUUAAGCUAAAUCUCUCUGAAAAGUAGCUGUUUAAAGCAAAAAAUAACAGGAAUUCCCUGGUGGCCUACGGGUCAGGAUUCCAAGCUUUCACUGCCAUGGCCUGGGUUCAAUCCCAGGGCAGGGAACUGAAAUCCCACAAGCCACUUGGCAAGGCCAAAAAACAGUUAAAAAUAAUAAUAAAGCAAAAAUAAUAUGUAUUAUGAAGUUUCUAACAUAUGUAGAAGUAAAAUGUAUGACAAAAAUAGCACAAAUUCAAUGAAGAGUUAAGCCAGCAAAGGAUGUAAAAUAGAAUCCUAAAAAGUGGUCAGUCCAGAAGUAGGCAGAAAAAUAAGGAAAAGGGAAUAAAGUACAGUUGGGACAAAUAGAAAACAAACAGCAAGAUAGUAACCACAUCAAUCAUAGUAAUCAUAUUAAAUGUAAAUGGUCUAAAUAGUCCAAUUAAAAGGUAGAGAUUAUCAAUUGGAUGAAAAAGCAAACUAUAUGCUGCCUACAAGAAAUGUACUUUAAAUAUAAAGACACUGCUUUUCCCAUUCUUGAGAGCUUAACACAGCCUGUUAUAUCAAAAUCAAAUUCUGUUGUCUGGGUAUUAGCAUCCUGUCAGAUUGGGCCAUUUCUAUUUAUUACUCGCUUAGCAUUUACCUUGUAAUAGACUACCUAGGCUAGUUUCCUUACAAUUCCUGCCGCACCCUAGACUUAGUUUAUUCCUCUGAAGGAUCCUUCACAACUCUCAAGUCUUCUCUGCUUAUGCAUAAUUUUUCAUCUGUGCUUAUUCAAGCCCAGUUUUGACUGACCUGUUCCAUAAGUCAAGCCCUGCAGUAACUAACAAUUAUGUCAUAAAUCAUGGAAUGUCAGAACUCUCAAGAGCAGUAAAGAAUUUCCUGUCCAUUCCCCCUUGUACUAUAAA